GUUUAGACUGCUAAGACUCCACGCCUAAUCUGUUUAUCUUCCUUGGUUCCUCCUCCCUCGUCUCAACUCAUGCUCUCCCUAUACCAUUCUUCAUUCUUCCUCAUCACCAUAAGACUGGUCUCUCUUGAAGGUGAGGAAGUCAAUGUGUCGUAUCAAGCACGUACUCACUUAGAGAGUAAUUGAAGAACCCGAUUCCAGGAGGUCUGCUGAGAUGAAGAGGAUGAUAAAUGCGUUGUGAUGGCCUCUACACCCAUGUAUUGGAUGGUUGGUGAUAUUGGCGACGCUGCCUAGCUUCUUUAUCUCCUUGCAUGUAGGACUAGAAACUUGUGGUAAUCUGAAUUAAAAGGAGCAACUUGUAAUAUGUGAUCAAUCUAUGAUGGCUUUUUAUCUUUCUAUUUUGAUGAACUCUUA